AGUGAACACUGGCGGUAGGCCUAACACAUGCAAGUCGAACGGCAGCACAGGAGAGCUUGCUCUCUGGGUGGCGAGUGGCGGACGGGUGAGGAAUACAUCGGAAUCUACUCUGUCAUGAGGGAUAACGUAGGGAAACUUACGCUAAUACCGCAUACGACCUACGGGUGAAAGCAGGGGACCUUCGGGCCUUGCGCGAUUGAAUGAGCCGAUGUCGGAUUAGCUAGUUGGCGGGGUAAAGGCCCACCAAGGCGACGAUCCGUAGCUGGUCUGAGAGGAUGAUCAGCCACACUGGAACUGAGACACGGUCCAGACUCCUACGGGAGGCAGCAGUGGGGAAUAUUGGACAAUGGGCGCAAGCCUGAUCCAGCCAUACCGCGUGGGUGAAGAAGGCCUUCGGGUUGUAAAGCCCUUUUGUUGGGAAAGAAAUCCAGCUGGCUAAUACCCGGUUGGGAUGACGGUACCCAAAGAAUAAGCACCGGCUAACUUCGUGCCAGCAGCCGCCGUAA
rnacentral:rRNA from 1 species